UCUGGGACAAGCCCUGGAAACGGGGUCUAAUACCGGAUAGCACUCUCGUGGGCAUCUGCGAGGGUUGAAAGCUCCGGCGGUGAAGGAUGAGCCCGCGGCCUAUCAGCUUGUUGGUGAGGUAAUGGCUCACCAAGGCGACGACGGGUAGCCGGCCUGAGAGGGCGACCGGCCACACUGGGACUGAGACACGGCCCAGACUCCUACGGGAGGCAGCAGUGGGGAAUAUUGCACAAUGGGCGAAAGCCUGAUGCAGCGACGCCGCGUGAGGGAUGACGGCCUUCGGGUUGUAAACCUCUUUCAGCAGGGAAGAAGCGAAAGUGACGGUACCUGCAGAAGAAGCGCCGGCUAACUACGUGCCAGCAGCCGCGGUAAUACGUAGGGCGCAAGCGUUGUCCGGAAUUAUUGGGCGUAAAGAGCUCGUAGGCGGCUUGUCACGUCGGGUGUGAAAGCCCGGGGCUUAACCCCGGGUCUGCAUUCGAUACGGGCUAGCUAGAGUGUGGUAGGGGAGAUCGGAAUUCCUGGUGUAGCGGUGAAAUGCGCAGAUAUCAGGAGGAACACCGGUGGCGAAGGCGGAUCUCUGGGCCAUUACUGACGCUGAGGAGCGAAAGCGUGGGGAGCGAACAGGAUUAGAUACCCUGGUAGUCCACGCCGUACACGGUGGGAACUAGGUGUUGGCGACAUUCCACGUCGUCGGUGCCGCAGCUAACGCAUUAAGUUCCCCGCCUGGGGAGUACGGCCGCAAGGCUA
rnacentral:rRNA from 1 species